GCGCUCAUAGCUCAGCUGGAUAGAGCAUCGGCCUUCUAAGCCGGCGGUCGGGGGUUCGAAUCCUCCUGGGCGCGCCA
rnacentral:tRNA from 2 species